rnacentral:rRNA from 1 species
UGGACGUCAGGAUGAACGACUGGCGGCGUGCCUAACACAUGCAAGUCGAACGGAGUCAUAAAGCGGAAGUUUCGGAUGGAAGAAUAUGACUUAGUGGCGGACGGGUGAGUAACGCGUGGGUAACCUGCCUUGUACCGGGGGAUAACACUUAGAAAUAGGUGCUAAUACCGCAUAAGCGCACAGCUUCGCAUGGAGCAGUGUGAAAAACUCCGGUGGUACAAGAUGGACCCGCGUCUGAUUAGCUAGUUGGUGGGGUAGUGGCCCACCCAAGGCGACGAUCAGUAGCCGGCCUGAGAGGGUGAUCGGCCACAUUGGGACUGAGACACGACCCAAACUCCUACGGGAGGCAGCAGUGGGGAAUAUUGCACAAUGGGGGAAACCCUGAAUGCAGCGACGCCGCGUGAGUGAAGACGUAUUUCGGUAUGUAAAGCUCUAUCAGCAGGGAAGAAAAUGACGGUACCUGACUAAGAAGCCCCGGCUAACUACGUGCCAGCCGCGGC